rnacentral:rRNA from 1 species
GUUGUAUGGUUAAGUGACUAAGCGUACACGGUGGAUGCCUUGGCAGUCAGAGGCGAUGAAGGACGUAUUAACUUGCGAUAAGCCCAGAUUAGGUAGUAAAAACCACUUGAGUCUGGGAUUUCCGAAUGGGGAAACCCACUUACAUAAGUAAGUAUCGUUAUGUGAAUACAUAGCAUAACGAGGCGAACCGGGGGAACUGAAACAUCUAAGUACCCCGAGGAAAAGAAAUCAACCGAGAUUCCGAAAGUAGCGGCGAGCGAAAUUGGACUAGCCCUUAAGCUUUAUAGGCGUUAGGUGAACAAGCUGGAAAGCUUGGCGAUACAGGGUGAUAGCCCCGUAACUGACGACGCAUAUUCAGUGAAAUCGAGUAGGGCGGGACACGUGAUAUCCUGUCUGAAUAUGGGGGGACCAUCCUCCAAGGCUAAAUACUACUGACUGACCGAUAGUGAACCAGUACCGUGAGGGAAAGGCGAAAAGAACCCCUGUGAGGGGAGUGAAAUAGAACCUGAAACCGUGUACGUACAAGCAGUAGGAGCAGGCUUUGUCCUGUGACUGCGUACCUUUUGUAUAAUGGGUCAGCGACUUAUAUUCAGUGGCAAGGUUAACCAUCUAGGGGAGCCGUAGGGAAACCGAGUCUUAACUGGGCGUUCAGUCUCUGGAUAUAGACCCGAAACCAGGUGAUCUAGCCAUGGGCAGGUUGAAGGUUGAGUAACAUCAACUGGAGGACCGAACCGACUAAUGUUGAAAAAUUAGCGGAUGACUUGUGGCUAGGGGUGAAAGGCCAAUCAAACCUGGAGAUAGCUGGUUCUCCCCGAAAGCUAUUUAGGUAGCGCCUCGGACGAAUACUACUGGGGGUAGAGCACUGUUAAGGCUAGGGGGUCAUCCCGACUUACCAACCCUUUGCAAACUCCGAAUACCAGUAAGUACUAUCCGGGAGACACACGGCGGGUGCUAACGUCCGUCGUGGAGAGGGAAACAACCCAGACCGCCAGCUAAGGUCCCAAAUUACUACUAAGUGGGAAACGAUGUGGGAAGGCUCAGACAGCCAGGAUGUUGGCUUAGAAGCAGCCAUCAUUUAAAGAAAGCGUAAUAGCUCACUGGUCGAGUCGGCCUGCGCGGAAGAUGUAACGGGGCUAAGUAGUAAACCGAAGCUGCGGCAAUGCACUUUAGUGCAUUGGGUAGGGGAGCGUUCUGUAAGCGGUUGAAGGUGUGUGGUAACGCAUGCUGGACGUAUCAGAAGUGCGAAUGCUGACAUGAGUAACGAUAAAGGGGGUGAAAAACCUCCUCGCCGGAAGACCAAGGGUUCCUGUCCAACGUUAAUCGGGGCAGGGUAAGUCGACCCCUAAGGCGAGGCCGAAAGGCGUAGUCGAUGGGAAACGGGUUAAUAUUCCCGUACUUCUUACAAUUGCGAUGGGGGG